UUUUUAAUUUAAAAAAUAUUGAAUGACAAAUGUGAUUUUCUUGUGUGAUGAUGUGUCAUUCAUAUGGAGAGAGUUGACCAACUUUCAUAUAUAUGAUUUAUAUAGUGAACGUGGAUGAGGUAAAAUCAAAGAGUAUUGAUGUUAUCAUCUUAUUUGCGAGACAAGUAUAGUUGUUUCAAUGUGAGGUCGGUUAUAGUUACAAUAUCCUUCUCACAUUGUCACGUAAGUGUGAUCAUUUUGUUUCACUUACACUAGCUUUCUCACAUUGUUACAUGAGAAAUUAUCAUUUCAGGUUCAUAAGACAUUCAACAGUUGUGUAGUAAAUCAAACUUAAUGAUAAACUUCCUCAACAGUUUUACCAUAGACUCUUUAGUUUUACAUGUUCACAAGAUAUGAUUUUCUAAAUUUAUUUUGGUUACCCGUUAUAUGAUGAUAUAGUUGAAACACGCAAGAUUAUAAUAUUUUUCUUUCACUUGGAAUGAAUAUUAAUUCUUCACGUAAACUAUAGAGAUCACAUGUUCUGAGAUUAGUAUAAAUGUGAAACCUUUACUAUAUCAAGAUUGAUUU
rnacentral:sRNA from 1 species